rnacentral:rRNA from 1 species
AGCGUAGACGGAUUAGCAAGUCUGAUGUGAAAGGCAGGGGCUCAACCCCUGGACUGCAUUGGAAACUGCCAGUCUUGAGUGCCGGAGAGGUAAGCGGAAUUCCUAGUGUAGCGGUGAAAUGCGUAGAUAUUAGGAGGAACACCAGUGGCGAAGGCGGCUUACUGGACGGCAACUGACGUUGAGGCUCGAAAGCGUGGGGAGCAAACA